AUUGAACGCUGGCGGCAGGCCUAACACAUGCAAGUCGAGCGGUAGCACAGAGAGCUUGCUCUCGGGUGACGAGCGGCGGACGGGUGAGUAAUGUCUGGGAAACUGCCUGAUGGAGGGGGAUAACUACUGGAAACGGUAGCUAAUACCGCAUAACGUCGCAAGACCAAAGAGGGGGACCUUCGGGCCUCUUGCCAUCAGAUGUGCCCAGAUGGGAUUAGCUAGUAGGUGGGGUAACGGCUCACCUAGGCGACGAUCCCUAGCUGGUCUGAGAGGAUGACCAGCCACACUGGAACUGAGACACGGUCCAGACUCCUACGGGAGGCAGCAGUGGGGAAUAUUGCACAAUGGGCGCAAGCCUGAUGCAGCCAUGCCGCGUGUAAGGAGAAGGCCUUCGGGUUGUAAAGUACUUUCAGCGAGGAGGAAGGCAUUGUGGUUAAUAACCACAGUGAUUGACGUUACUCGCAGAAGAAGCACCGGCUAACUCCGUGCCAGCCGCCGCAGUAACAC
rnacentral:rRNA from 1 species